GGUCGUUUGGUCUAGUUGGUUAUGACGUCAGCUUAACAUCCUUUAAGGUCGCUGAAGGUCCUGAGUUCAAUCCUCAGAAUGAUCA